rnacentral:lncRNA from 1 species
AGUUGGAAUGACCCAUGUGGCACGAGUAUAUACAAUAUAUGGACUUAUGUUAAUGUCCUUGAGUGUCAUCAUGAAAGUGUGUGUGUGGUCUGCCUGUGUAAUGUGUGUGGUGUGGGCAUGUAGCCUGCUUGAGUAACGUGAUUGUGCCCGUGUGCCCAUUGACAGAGGUCGCUGAAGACAGUGAUUGUCCCCAAAGGGAACCAGCUCCAUAAGAAGUUGCGGAGAGCUGCCUUGAAGCUGGAGAAGACCAUGGGAUAUGGAGAGGCUGAGGUAGCGGAGUUGGAUGCACACACAUACAAUUUUGUUGCAGAAAGAUCCUUUCCCAUUGGUGAGUCAAUAAUACUGCUACUGGUACUUUUUAUAACUACUGUCUGUCACUACUGUCUCUCACUACUGUCUGUGAAUAAUUUAACAUUUUCAACUGUGUGUUGGUUCGUCUCUCCAGGCCUGAACAUUGUAAUGAAGGUCAUAAAUGGUGACCCUUCACCUGACCCCCGACUGUUGGUCAGCCUUAAACCUCCUGACCCCUCACCCCAGGUCAGCCCUGAACCCCCUGACCCCUCACCCCAGGUCAGCCCUGAACCCCUUGACCCCUCACCCCAGGUCAGCCCUGAACCCCCUGACCCCUCACCCAAGGGCAGCCCUAACUCCUCACCCCAGGUCAGCCCUGACCCCUCACCCAAGGUCAGCCCUGACCCCUCACCCCAGGUGUCGGAGGUCAGCAACCCCACCAUGACCUCUACAGCUCUGUGGUCCUACCUGAAUGCCUCCACCAGGACACAGCCUGUCAUCGGUAAGUGUGUGUGUGAUUGUUUAAUGUGCACUUCAUAG